GGAGAGAUAGCUCAGUGGUUAAGAGCACUGACUGCUGUGCCAGAGGACCUGGGUUCAGUUCCCAGUACCCUCA
rnacentral:tRNA from 1 species